UUAUGUUUGGCAGAUUUUUUCUAACCCUCGUUUCCUGAUGUAGAUUUGGUUGAAGAUUGGAUCACCGCGAGGCAGAUUUAAGGUGAGAACAAAUUCUGGUUUAUGUGACAUGAUGGUGUACUGUGAAAGCUUUUCUUGUAAAAUGAGAUGGUAAAUUGCUAUUGUUGUGUAAUGCCCAUGUAUAAAUUUAAUGAUGCACGCCUUUUCUUGUGAAGUGAGAUGAUGAAUUUUGCAAUAUGUGAUAUGGUGAUUGUUGUUGUGUGCUCCUAAUGUAUAGAUUGGAUGAAUGCAUAGUGUGUUGGUGAAUAAACUUUGUCAAGUCAUAAUAAAUGCUUGUUUGUGUGUGCCAAACAUGAUUCUGUAUUGAAACCUCGGUAAAAUUCCCUGAUUGAGUUUAGUAAACAUCCAAACAAUCAAAUUCGUAUUCAUGUCCAUUACAGUUUCUUGGAUGAAAUGGAAUUGAAAGCAAUUUAAUACCACAACCUCCAAUUCUUCCACUUUCAAAAUUUGCAAGGAUUCAAGAAUGAGUGCCAACAUUUUCAUGAAACACUGAUUAAUUUCUAGUUUGCCGGAUUUCUAGCAAUCAAUAUGUUUAAUGUUUUAGGAAAGGUCAUGCUGAUUUUUUUCGUCGAUUUUUAACCUUUUUAAGCCGUCAGCCUCUUCUCUCCGUGAGAUGAGAUGUUCUCAAAUGUUAAAAUUGGAUAAGCUAGGAUGUAAAAUAUCAUGUUCUCAAAUGUUGUCUAGAAGACCCACUGUUGAUUUUUAGGUACUAAUGUAGUAGCAAGGAGGUGUCAAAUAUAGAUCAAUAGUUUCCGACAUUUUUUUGUACUAAUGUACUUUUUUUACAGGGAUUCCAUAGCUCCUAGUCAUCGUUAGGCCUCCCAUACCACACCAUCAUCCACCACUCUAGCCCUGCCCUCGUUGUUCUGAGGCCUGCGAAAGGAGCCUCAGGGGCCUCCUCGAUCGAUGGCGCCAGACGAAUUGGAGAGGCGGCGACGGAGGAUGUGGCUAGUGCGGGCAAAAAGGAUUGACGACGUGGUAUUAUGCUGGAUGAAGUGCAUGCGGGAGUUGAUGGAGAAGGAGGCUAUCGCACGAGAUAACCCUGGCUUUCAGGUGGACGUAUCGAUGCACAAAAGGUGUGUGGAUAGAGGAUUGAGGACUGUAGCAGACAUCAUCUUCUCAGAGACCUCAAAUGAAGAGCGCUCUCGGAUGCCGACUCAGAGUAGACUGGAAUUGGUCCUCGAAUGGGCAUUGGAAGAGGUGAAAUCUCCAAUCAUGAUUCAGAGAGCCCGAUGGGGAUGUGUCGUGGGGAUAAUGCCACCGAGAGUUCCCCCACCACCACGGGACUCUACUCCACCUUCAGCAGUCACCUUUCCAUCCACUUGAACAGGUAUUUGUGCCAAUUGAGCUAAGUUUUAAUCUCCUAACUUAGAUCCAUAGAUGAUAAUUUUCCUAAGUUAGAACCAGAGAUGAUGAAUUUCCUCUGUAUAGCUAGUAGCUUAAACAACUAUGUGCCCAAUACCAGGAUAGGUUUAGCUAUGCGUGCAAUCUUUAAGUUUUUCCUUUCUAACAUUGUUUUAUUUUUAUACCCACAGUGGAUCUUUGGGGGACAACGGGUUGUGCUACUGGUGGCAUCAACAAGCCGCGGGUGGCAAAUAACGUUGAACUUGUUUAUGAAUGUGGUACUUGCAGUACUAAGGCUAGUGCCAUUACAUUAUAAAUAUACUGCAGUAUGAUUGAACUCUAGUUUGAUUUGGAAUUUUCAUUAUAUAUGUGUUCUUAGCAGAACUGAACUCUAGUUUGGUCUGGACUUGCAAGACUAUGAAAUCUAGUCAUCUGUUCGUAAUUUGUAGGGUAACAUGGCAGAAAACAAAAAAUGUCCUGCGAACUAGGCUAGGACCACUAUGAAAAUGCAUAGAAGGUUAGAUCUAAUUUUUACCAACUUGGAGCAUAGUGGAAGAACAGGUGGUGAUUAUCGUCAGUGUAGAUUCCCGCGACUAGGAUUUGACAACCUCCCAACCAAAAAAAAUUCCUCCUUCGAACAGAAGAAGGAACGUACGAUCUCUCUACCGGGUCACACACAUAAUAAUA
rnacentral:lncRNA from 1 species